rnacentral:rRNA from 1 species
ACAAUGAAGAGUUUGAUCCUGGCUCAGGAUGAACGCUAGCUACAGGCUUAACACAUGCAAGUCGAGGGGCAGCAUCAUCAAAGCUUGCUUUGAUGGAUGGCGACCGGCGCACGGGUGAGUAACACGUAUCCAACCUGCCGACAACACUGGGAUAGCCUUUCGAAAGAAAGAUUAAUACCGGAUGGCAUAAUUAUUCCGCAUGGGAUAAUUAUUAAAGAAUUUCGGUUGUCGAUGGGGAUGCGUUCCAUUAGGCAGUUGGCGGGGUAACGGCCCACCAAACCUACGAUGGAUAGGGGUUCUGAGAGGAAGGUCCCCCACAUUGGAACUGAGACACGGUCCAAACUCCUACGGGAGGCAGCAGUGAGGAAUAUUGGUCAAUGGACGAGAGUCUGAACCAGCCAAGUAGCGUGAAGGAUGACUGCCCUAUGGGUUGUAAACUUCUUUUAUACGGGAAUAAAGUGAGCCACGUGUGGCUUUUUGUAUGUACCGUAUGAAUAAGGAUCGGCUAACUCCGUGCCAGCAGCCGCGGUAAUACGGAGGAUCCGAGCGUUAUCCGGAUUUAUUGGGUUUAAAGGGAGCGUAGGCGGGUUGUUAAGUCAGUUGUGAAAGUUUGCGGCUCAACCGUAAAAUUGCAGUUGAUACUGGCGACCUUGAGUGCAACAGAGGUAGGCGGAAUUCGUGGUGUAGCGGUGAAAUGCUUAGAUAUCACGAAGAACUCCGAUUGCGAAGGCAGCUUACUGGAUUGUAACUGACGCUGAUGCUCGAAAGUGUGGGUAUCAAACAGGAUUAGAUACCCUGGUAGUCCACACAGUAAACGAUGAAUACUCGCUGUUGGCGAUAUACAGUCAGCGGCCAAGCGAAAGCAUUAAGUAUUCCACCUGGGGAGUACGCCGGCAACGGUGAAACUCAAAGGAAUUGACGGGGGCCCGCACAAGCGGAGGAACAUGUGGUUUAAUUCGAUGAUACGCGAGGAACCUUACCCGGGCUUAAAUUGCAACUGACGGAACCGGAAACGGUUCUUUCUUCGGACAGUUGUGAAGGUGCUGCAUGGUUGUCGUCAGCUCGUGCCGUGAGGUGUCGGCUUAAGUGCCAUAACGAGCGCAACCCUUACGGGUAGUUACCAUCAGGUUAUGCUGGGGACUCUACCCGGACUGCCGUCGUAAGAUGUGAGGAAGGUGGGGAUGACGUCAAAUCAGCACGGCCCUUACGUCCGGGGCUACACACGUGUUACAAUGGGGGGUACAGAAGGCAGCUACACGGCGACGUGGUGCUAAUCCCAAAAGCCUCUCUCAGUUCGGAUUGGAGUCUGCAACCCGACUCCAUGAAGCUGGAUUCGCUAGUAAUCGCGCAUCAGCCACGGCGCGGUGAAUACGUUCCCGGGCCUUGUACACACCGCCCGUCAAGCCAUGAAAGCCGGGGGUACCUGAAGUACGUAACCGCGAGGAGCGUCCUAGGGUAAAACUGGUGAUUGGGGCUAAGUCGUAACAAGGUAGCCGUACCGGAAGGUGUGGCUGGAACACCUCCUUU